ensembl:lncRNA
UAUCACAGCCAGCAGUAAUAUAGCCUUAACGACGGCACAGACUUGUGUAUGAACGAAGCCCAAUUAGCUGCCUUAAAUACGUGCCCAGUUUGUAUCUGGUAGUAAUGUUUCUGUAGUAUACUGGAGGCCAACUGACAGCCGCUUUAGAAGAAGAGUCUUGCAUUUCCAUGCCUUCUGCAGGAGAAUAAUUUUAUUUGAAGACAUGCAGAGACUUCAAAGUGCUACUCCCUUCUGAUGCAUGAGGAGUGAAGCAGGCUUUCCCUUCUCCGCUUCCAUGUGGUGGCGAGACCUCAUGAAUAGGACUUUCCCAGGGCAGAGUGAGAAGGAAAGCAAAGGCACACAGUCACUCUGGGUCUCAAGCAGGAGCACAAUAGCUGGGAUACCCAAGCCUGAAAUCCCCAACAUUGGUAUUGGUCAUUUCUAAUCUUGGGACCGAUGCUGGGACCAACAACAUCAGUGGCAAAGAUCCUGUUAGAAGUAACCCACAGAAUCAGGCCUCGGAUGCCACCUCCAAGACUUCUCCAAGGUGAAGAUAUGAGUUGUUCAGCCUCCAAAGCAG